rnacentral:rRNA from 1 species
UACGAAGGGGGCUAGCGUUGCUCGGAAUUACUGGGCGUAAAGCGCACGUAGGCGGCUCUUUAAGUCGGGGGUGAAAUCCUGGAGCUCAACUCCAGAACUGCCUUCGAUACUGUAGAGCUUGAGUUCAGGAGAGGUGAGUGGAAUUCCGAGUGUAGAGGUGAAAUUCGUAGAUAUUCGGAAGAACACCGGUGGCGAAGGCGACCAUCUGGACGGAUACUGACGCUGAGACGCGAAAGCGUGGGUAGCAAACAGG